GACGAACGCUGGCGGCGUGCUUAACACAUGCAAGUCGAACGGAAAGGCCCUGCUUUUGCGGGGUGCUCGAGUGGCGAACGGGUGAGUAACACGUGAGUAACCUGCCCUUGACUUUGUGAUAACUUCAGGAAACUGGGGCUAAUACCGGAUAGGAGCUCCUGCUGCAUGGGGGGGGUUGGAAAGUUUCGGCGGUUGGGGAUGGACUCGCGGCUUAUGAGCUUGUUGGUGGGGUAGUGGCUUACCAAGGCUUUGACGGGUAGCCGGCCUGAGAGGGUGACCGGCGACAUUGGGACUGAGAUACGGCGCAGACUGCUACGGGCGGCAGAAGUGGGGAAUAUUGCACAAUGGGCGGAAGCGUGAUGCAGAAGCGCCGCGUGCGGGAUGACGGCCUUCGGGUUGUAAACCGAUUUCGACUGUGACGAAGCGUGAGUGACGGUAAUGGGUAAAGAAGCACCGGCUAACUACGUG
rnacentral:rRNA from 1 species